GAGCCUUAAAACUAUUCCCCAAUACAUGAUCUAUCAUAUUCCCCUCUUGUAAAAUGAUGUUACCUGAUCGCAAAAACGAAGGCGUCAACGAAUCUCAUGAAUUUACAUAGAUAUGCGCCUCCACGCCAUUCCAAAGUCACCAGCCACCCAAUUAAUCCAGGCACGUAUAGACCAAGAACCUGAAAAAAUUGAUUUUUGUAUUUCUGAUUCAUAUAUGUACAUAUGUUUUGAAUAGUUUUAAAAACAAUAUAAAAAUAGUGUGCAGAAAUAUGUUACAGUUGCAUGUUCGACUUGGCAAUUUUUCGUAUCUACGAUAUACUACAAUAAUUAACUACAAAAGUGUAGAGGAAGAGAUGGCAACCGAGCUGUAAGAUGCCAAAGUUUGAGCAAUGGAGAAAAUACGGUUGAUAUGGAGAAGAAGUAGGAAUGACUUUGCAUGUCGAUACCGUUUUAGCAUGUAUAUCAAAGUUGAGAUAUUCACUGGAAGUCCGAUUAGCGCGAAAAUUCCAUAAAGGAGCAUCUGAGCAUAGUCCGAUGGUACAUGUCCAAGUGUCUCUUGAUUUGAAAUUUCAUCUAAUGGAUUGAUGAACGGUGGUGUUGAGUUGG
ensembl:antisense_RNA C15H11.16 ncRNA